rnacentral:SRP_RNA from 1 species
UUAGCAAAUCAGUGGAUUUUGUCGACAUCGAAACCUCCCAGGGUAGAAAUACAGCAAGAGUAGGUAGUCGGAAAAUGUUAUUGGUUUGCUUUUUU